rnacentral:sRNA from 1 species
CACUAGCCCCGAUAGAAACGACAUCCUUUUUGGUGGCUGGUGCAACGAAGUGGAAGCGGCUACCAAAAAGAUAUAGUGGAUAGUGGGAAAAAGC